UUGGGGAAAAAAAUAGAGUACCUGGUAGUCCACGCCGUAAACGAUGUCGACUAGCCGUUGGGACCUUUAAGGACUUAGUGGCGCAGUUAACGCGAUAAGUCGACCGCCUGGGGAGUACGGCCGCAAGGUUAAAACUCAAAUGAAUUGACGGGGGCCGGCACAACCGGUGGAGCAUGUGGUUUAAUUUCGAUGCAACGCGAAGGACCUUACCUACCCUUGACCAUCCGGGGAACUUGGCAGAGAUGCCUUGGUGCCUUCGGGAACUCCGAGACAGGUGCUGCAUGGCUGUCGUCAGCUCCUGUUUUGAAAUGUUGGGUUAAGUCCCGUAACGAGCCCAACCCUUGUCCUUAUUUGCCAGCACGUAAUGGUGGGAACUCUAAGGAGACUGCCGGUGACAAACCGGAGGAAGGUGGGGACGACGUCAAGUCAUCAUGGCCCUUACGGGUAGGGCUACACACGUGCUACAAUGGCCGGUACAAAGGGUUGCGAGACCGCGAGGUGGAGCGAAUCCCAGAAAGCCGGCCUCAGUCCGGAUCGGAGUCUGCAACUCGACUCCGUGAAGUCGGAAUCGCUAGUAAUCGUGAAUCAGAAUGUCACGGUGAAUACGUUCCCGGGCCUUGUACACACCGCCCGUCACACCAUGGGAGUGGACUGCACCAGAAGUGGUUAGCUUAACCUUCGGGAGAGCGAUCACCACGGUGUGGUCCAUAACUGGGGCUGAU
rnacentral:rRNA from 1 species